ACACAGGCUGGUAAAGUGUCCCACCCAGGUUCACCCAGGGCGAGGCUCUGCCAUUGCGCUUGGGUGGUGCUGACCCUAGCGAAUUCCCCAAAUGUGGGAAUCUCGGCUGCAUAAUUUCUGGUAGUGGGGGACUGUGUUCGCGCUCUUU
rnacentral:snRNA from 1 species